UACGAAGGGGGCUAGCGUUGCUCGGAAUCACUGGGCGUAAAGCGCACGUAGGCGGAUUGUUAAGUCAGGGGUGAAAUCCUGGAGCUCAACUCCAGAACUGCCUUUGAUACUGGCAAUCUUGAGUCCGGAAGAGGUGAGUGGAACUCCUAGUGUAGAGGUGGAAUUCGUAGAUAUUAGGAAGAACACCGGUGGCGAAGGCGGCCCACUGGUCCGGUACUGACGCUGAGGUGCGAAAGCGUGGGGAGCAAACAGG
rnacentral:rRNA from 1 species